CGACCGCUGGCGGCGUGCUUAACACAUGCAAGUCGAACGGAAAGGCCCUGCUUUUGUGGGGUGCUCGAGUGGCGAACGGGUGAGUAACACGUGAGUAACCUGCCCUUGACUUUGGGAUAACUUCAGGAAACUGGGGCUAAUACCGGAUAGGAGCUCCUGCUGCAUGGUGGGGGUUGGAAAGUUUCGGCGGUUGGGGAUGGACUCGCGGCUUAUCAGCUUGUUGGUGGGGUAGUGGCUUACCAAGGCUUUGACGGGUAGCCGGCCUGAGAGGGUGACCGGCCACAUUGGGACUGAGAUACGGCCCAGACUCCUACGGGAGGCAGCAGUGGGGAAUAUUGCACAAUGGGCGGAAGCCUGAUGCAGCAACGCCGCGUGCGGGAUGACGGCCUUCGGGUUGUAAACCGCUUUCGCCUGUGACGAAGCGUGAGUGACGGUAAUGGGUAAAGAAGCACCGGCUAACUACGU
rnacentral:rRNA from 1 species